rnacentral:lncRNA from 1 species
UAGAGGAAAAGCGUCAGGUAUAUUGAUUUUUAUUUAUCAUCGAUAAGAAACGACAUUCGUGAAAUGAAAUCUCACCUGUGCCACUUCUCUUGUUGAACAGAGAUUACUGGAAUAUUAUAUCGCACAGAUUAAAAUGGUUGCGAAUUUAAUUCAUGACUUUAUCCAGUUGUUCCUUUCUGUUACUGGGAAAUUGUCUCUCUCUCCAUUUGUAAGUGGGCUUUAUCGUGUAAAAUUAGCAGUGCACUUGAAAGACACAUACAGUCCAUGAGAUUUCGUGUUCAACCUGCAAUGCUUUACGUGUGACGUGCCUCCCUUAAUUUGAUUUUUAUAUGAUGGAAUACUGAUGGUGUCAGAUAAUAAUGGCAAUCCAAUGAAUAGCCGAAUAAAAUCUGAUGAGGUGGAAAAUUUUUUGCCCGAUUGGACGGAAUGGGAAUUCAAAGAAAUACAGUCCUCAGAAAUUCCAGAUUUUAAGCUGAUAAACCAUAACAUGUGGAAUUUUGGUGCUUCCGGGGGAAGCUUCUGCAAAAAUGUGCGAAUGAAACGCUUUUUGCAGUUUUGUUUGGCAUUCUUUCAUCCAUGCUCACAGCUUCCUUCACGUAUUACUCAGCAACCAUAGCAACGGUGGAAAAACGGUUCAGCAUACCUAACGUUAAUACAGGUAUCAUAUUCACUGGGGCCGAGGUGACUCAGGUCCUUUUAGCAGGGUGUAUUAGUUACUACUUCGCAGGCACUAGACAUCGACCUCGGAUUAUAGCUGUUGGAGCGUUUUGUGUAGCACUAUGCGCUUUCUUACAUGCCUCACCCUACUUCAUUUUGGUGCCGGAGACAACCUUUCAAGUGAGAAACGCAUAA